UCCAGCCUGGCUAAGGUCUAUGGAAUGGCAUCUCUCCAGGCCUAUUUCACGGGACCUGUCAGCACUAUGCAGACAUCCGAAGAGCAAAAACAGGAAGUCUCCAGGAUGGAAAUGGAGCCAGAGGUGGGCAAAGGAGCAGAGGCUGCUGUGUUGACAGGAUGCCUCAUCUCUGCCCAACUUAGCUGUUUCCACUUCUUACAGAAGACAAAAGUGCUGCAGGGACUUUCAGAACUAUGAGAAUGCUGCCUCUGGGGUUGACGGCCUCCCCUACUCUGAGCCCCCAGCCCCUCAACCCAGCCCCUCUCCCAUAGUCACAAGGGCCCCUACUGGGCACUGUGCUGCUCCACAUGGUGGGCCCUGAGGGGACCAUCCUUUGUCGCCUAUGAGUGUGCUGUGGCUCCCAGCCAUGGACUCAGGCUGGGAGACCGUGGAGAAGAUCGCUGCUUCUUUCUCUCCCAUCUGUUUCCCCAAGGAGGCAGGCUGGACUGGGCAAGGGUUAGGGUCAGCCCAGAGUCUGACCUGAAUUGGGCUUUGAUCCCCUAAGACAGCCCAGAGGAACUGGAGCACAGUCCCCUCUGUGAGGCCCCUACACCGGGCACAGCCAGGAGCUGCUCCCAGGGAUGGAUGCCAUCGCCGGGGUGCAGGGGGAAGUGUGCAUUCCAGAGUCCAUCUAGUCGCAGCGCGUGACCUUGAAAAGUUAUAAUCCAACAACUGUAUACAGUGAGGCCAUGGGGAUGAGGAGGAGAGGGUGGUAUCAGUUGGGUCUUUAAGGAGUGUCUAUUGCUGGGCUCACCUCACCUCUAACACUUCCCUCUCAUGAAUGAGACCUCCUUUCAGGAGAGAGAAAGACUGUGUGUUCUUUCUGCCUUCUCACUGCCAUUGUUGUCAUUGGAUCAGGAGGAAUUUGUUCAUUCAUUUGUUCAUCCAUCCAUUCAUUUUGGAGCGAGUAUGUGCUCCGGGCGCUUUCAUGGACACUGACAUGUAUCCAAGUUGGCAAGGCAUUGUUUGUACCAUCCCAACAAGUCCCUUCCCCUCUGCACCUUGGCUGCAUCCCAGGGUUGUGGGAGCAUUCAGUGACUCAGGGAGACACAGUGCAGAGUGAGCCUACUGUAGAGGAUGCCUUCCCCGACCUGUGUGUUUCUGGCAGAGGUCAACAGAGCUGUGUUGUAGGUGGUCUCUCUGGGUGAGAGUACCGCCAGCUCACCUCGCUCAGCCCCCUGGGGCCCUUCUUUCCCAGUGAAAGACCACCAACCCCUUUUUUUCUGUGUCAGGUCUUAGAAGCUCAAAGUGGCAAAGCAUUUCCACUGUUCCCUGUUGGAAAAGCCCCUCUCUGAAUCCUUUCUGAGAUGAACACCCCAAAACAAUGUCAAAGUCCACAAAAGCUAAAUAAAUCCCUCCAAA